CCUACGGGUGGCAGCAGUAGGGAAUCUUCCACAAUGGGCGAAAGCCUGAUGGAGCAACGCCGCGUGGGUGAAGAAGGUCUUCGGAUCGUAAAACCCUGUUGUUAGAGAAGAAAGUGCGUGAGAGUAACUGUUCACGUUUCGACGGUAUCUAACCAGAAAGCCACGGCUAACUACGUGCCAGCAGCCGCGGUAAUACGUAGGUGGCAAGCGUUAUCCGGAUUUAUUGGGUGUAAAGGGAACGCAGGCGGUCUUUUAAGUCUGAUGUGAAAGCCUUCAGCUUAACCGGAGUAGUGCAUUGGAAACUGGGGGACGUGAGUGCAGAAGGGGAGAGUGGAACUCCAGGUGUAGCGGUGAAAUGCGUAGAUAUAUGGAAGAACACCAGUGGCGAAAGCGGCUCUCUGGUCUGUAACUGACGCUGAGGUUCGAAAGCGUGGGUAGCAAACAGGAUUAGAUACCCGUGUAGUC
rnacentral:rRNA from 1 species